CCCAUGAGGUACGACCUGAGCACAAAGUCAAGCCUGACACUAAACUGCAGUACAUGUCGGGUGUAUCAGAAAAUCCUGAGCACAAAGUCAAGUCUGACCUUGAACUUCAGUUGAUGUCCGGUGUAUCAGAACAUCCCGAGCACAAGGUCAAGCCUGACCAUAAACUGCAAUCCAUGUCCGGUGAAUUAGAACAUCCUGAGCACAAGGUCAAGCCUGACCAUAAACUGCAGUCCAUGCCUGGUGAACCUAAUGAACCAGAUGAUCCUGACCACACAGUUAAGCCUGAUCAGAUAAUGCAGACCAUGGUGAAUGAACCGGAUCCUGACCACACAGUUAAGCCUAAUCAGAUAAUGCAGACCAUGGCGAGUGGACUAGAAGAUCCUGACCACACUGUAAAGCCUAUGGGGUAUGGUGUAGGUAGGGGUUAUGGAAGUGGUGGCUCUGGUGUUGGGUAUGGUGUUGGUUAUGGCAGUGGAGGCAGUGGCUUUGGGGAAGGAAUUGGCUCUAGUGGAGGCAGUGGCUUUGGAGAAGGAAUUGGCUCUAGUGGAGGCAGCGGCUUUGGUGAAGGAAUUGGGUAUGGUGGUGGUUCAGGUAUUGGCAUUGGAGAAGGAAUAGGAUCUGGGUCUGCCCAACCCAAUUGUGGUCCUAUAACGGGAGCUCCAGGUAGCGGAUUUGGUGAAGGCAUUGGACAAGGUAGUGGUCCAGGCGAAGGGAUUGGUAUCGGUAUUGGACAGGGCUCUAGUGGUGGACCAAGUGUAGUUGUCCCAGGCACAACAAUCCCUCCCAU
rnacentral:lncRNA from 1 species